rnacentral:misc_RNA from 1 species
AAGUCGUAACAAGGUUUCCGUAGGUGAACCUGCGGAAGGAUCAUUAGAUGAAGCAACCUAGGAGCCUGAGAUAUGGCCACCGGGCACACCUUCCACCCUUUGUUUAUCACACUUUGUUGCUUUGGCAGGCCUGCCUCCGGGCUGCUGGCUCCGGCCGGCGAGCGCUUGCCAGAGGACCCAAACUCUGUUUGUCUGUAACGUCUGAGUACUAUAUAAUAGUUAAAACUUUCAACAACGGAUCUCUUGGUUCUG